CUCUUCUAGAGUACUGUCACAUCGGUUUGGUCUCUCCUCGUGGUAAACAGAUAACUGGAACAACUGACUUUCCUCUAGAGGAUUUGAACUGGAGGAGGCUUGAAGUUGAACAAUGGAACUCUCAGUACCAACUUCCCUUUACAGUCUGAUCUCAGAAAUCUGACAGCCAGUUGUAUUCCCCCAGACCCUCUACCUUCACCUGUAAGUCUAAGUGGCAGGAAUUUCGCAACUCCAAAAAGUGAUGCCGAAAAAUAUUGGAGCAAUGUCUUCAAAAUUGUAAGAGUAUACACCCAACUAAACUGUUGACAAGUAGCAUAAAGGGUAGAAUAAAGAUUUUUCCCUGGCCAGGUGUGGUAGCUCACACCUGUGAU
rnacentral:lncRNA from 10 species